CAACCAUUCGAACGAUUUUACCAAGCAUCAGAUAACAAAAGACGAAAUUUUAAGAAAAAAUUUACCGAAGCCGUAUCAGAAACCUGUGUAGAGUACACUUCUAGGCUUCAUACAUUCAGUGUUGUGCAGCAAGCAUUUUCCGGUCGAUGACUUGGAGUCAAGAAGUGUACCGGCAUAACAAGCAUUAGGUUUUCUGACCGCAAACACAAAAAAAAAAGAUGGAGACCAGAGCAGUUGGUGGGCAAUCAGGAGAGUAAACGAAGAUCUACAGCCUACGAAAAAAGAAAGGUUCAGUGCAAGGACUUUGUUAGCUGCAAUGCAUUACAAUGAGAACUGUGGAAGACAGCAGGCUACGACUAAGAGUAGAGGAGAAAGCCGAUUUUCAAUUAACUACCCAAUCUAUGACUUUGUUGACGCUUUUGGAUCUAGGGAUAAGUUGCUGUAGUACUAAUGUUUGCAGCUAUAUACAGAUGCCCCACCAUAUCUUUGUAGCAGUUAUGAAAAAUAGGAUAAAACAGAAGAUAUUUCUGCUCACUGCACCCGCUUUGCUGAGUAACUGCCUAACAUAUGAUAAACUUUAAUACUUGAACCCUGUGUAUUUAUUGACUAGACUUAUAUUUUCUUCUUAUUCGAACGACAGCACAUGAAAGGAUAAACACAUGAUCACUCCUGCCAAUAUAUCCGUGCGUCUACUUUACAAAGUUUCUGUAGGUGGUGUUUCCGAAUUUCCUGAAAAAAAAUUGAAUAUAGUUAAGGAAAGAUAAUGUAAAGGGGUAGAAAUAAAAAUGUAUAGAUCCGUUAUUUUAUUUUUUGGGGGGAGGGGAGGGGGUGGCGGAGAGGUGGGGUUGCAAACCUUAGGACCUGUACCCCUGGAUGCAUAGUUGUAAAAUGUAAAAUACUGUAAAGUUUUUGUUUUUUUUUGUUUGUAUGUACAGUAUUCGUAAAUAAGUGCAUUUUAUGAGACUAAUAUCGACUACAAAAGAGGUUGUACUAUAGAAUAUUUUUCUAAAAUAAAGGCUCGUUUAAAAAAGACUUUUUUAUACUGUUUGUUUUUAUUAACUUGUACAUAUACAGUGCACAUUAACAUAUACACUAUAUUGGUUAUAGAGCUUUACUUGUUUUCAGAUUUUUUGUUUUCGUGUUGUUUGUAUUCCUGCCAUCUGUAAUGCUAAUCAAUCAUCUAAACAACUACUGUAGCAUGACAUCCAGAAUGAGAUGUAGUUUCACCUGUGAUUUCAGCAUCUCUGUCUUUAGUACAGGGUUUUUUGUAGUAAAAUAGGCUCGAGUUCGCAAUUCAUGUUAAUUUAUGGCAACGAUGUUUUCCGACUCAGAAUUUUAUACUGAACACGAAAAACGUUAGUGCAAAUUUUUUCGAGAAGGUUAACUGGCCGCUAUCUUGGAAAACAAGAUGGUGGACGUCAAACAUAGUAUUAUGUGGUAUCAUUGAAAA